GGGUCAGUAGGUUGGUCGUGCCACCGGUACGUACUGGUCUCAAUGAUUCCUCCUUCCUGAAUAACCGUAUUGCCAUUAAUUUGGUGUUGCGGGGAGACAGGACUGUUACUUUGAAAAAAUUAGAGUGUUUAAAGCAAGCUAACGCUUGAAUACAUUAGCAUGGAAUAAUGAAAUAGGACGAUCGAUCCUAUUUUGUUGGUUUCUAGGAUUGACGUA
rnacentral:rRNA from 1 species